rnacentral:rRNA from 1 species
GUCUAUGGCCAUGCCACUCUGAACAAGCCCAAUCCUGUCUGAUCUCAGAAGCUAAGCAGAGUUGGGCCUGGUUAGCACUUGGAUGGGAGACCACCUAGGAGGACCAGGUGCUGUAGGAG